UUACGUCCAUAUCAUGCUGAAAUACCGGUUCUCAUAAAAUCACCAAUGUUAAGCAACAUCGAGUCUGGUCAGUCCCUAGAUGGGUGACCGUUUGGGAAUACCAGCUGUUGUAA